CCUACGGGGGGCUGCAGUGGGGAAUUUUGCACAAUGGGCGAAAGCCUGAUGCAGCAACGCCGCGUGUGUGAUGAAGGUCUUCGGAUUGUAAAGCACUUUCGACCGGGACGAACACAGCUUGGCUAACAUCCAAGCUCCUGACGGUACCGGGAGAAGAAGCACCGGCUAACUCUGUGCCAGCAGCCGCGGUAAUACAGAGGGUGCAAGCGUUGUUCGGAAUUAUUGGGCGUAAAGCGCGUGUAGGCGGCUUGAUAAGUCGGGUGUGAAAGCCCUCAGCUUAACUGAGGAAGUGCGCCCGAAACUGUCUGGCUUGAGUACCGGAGAGGGUGGCGGAAUUCCCCAAGUAGAGGUGAAAUUCGUAGAUAUGGGGAGGAACACCGGUGGCGAAGGCGGCCACCUGGACGGAUACUGACGCUGAGACGCGAAAGCGUGGGUAGCAAACAGGAUUAGAUACCCUGGUAGUCC
rnacentral:rRNA from 1 species